rnacentral:rRNA from 1 species
GUUAGUGGAAGCGUCUGGAAAGGCGCGCGAUACAGGGUGACAGCCCCGUACACAAAAAUGCACAUGCUGUGAGCUCGAUGAGUAGGGCGGGACACGUGGUAUCCUGUCUGAAUAUGGGGGGACCAUCCUCCAAGGCUAAAUACUCCUGACUGACCGAUAGUGAACCAGUACCGUGAGGGAAAGGCGAAAAGAACCCCGGCGAGGGGAGUGAAAAAGAACCUGAAACCGUGUACGUACAAGCAGUGGGAGCACGCUUCGGCGUGUGACUGCGUACCUUUUGUAUAAUGGGUCAGCGACUUAUAUUCUGUAGCAAGGUUAACCGAAUAGGGGAGCCGAAGGGAAACCGAGUCUUAACUGGGCGUUAAGUUGCAGGGUAUAGACCCGAAACCCGGUGAUCUAGCCAUGGGCAGGUUGAAGGUUGGGUAACACUAACUGGAGGACCGAACCGACUAAUGUUGAAAAAUUAGCGGAUGACUUGUGGCUGGGGGUGAAAGGCCAAUCAAACCGGGAGAUAGCUGGUUCUCCCCGAAAGCUAUUUAGGUAGCGCCUCGUGAAUUCAUCUCCGGGGGUAGAGCACUGUUUCGGCAAGGGGGUCAUCCCGACUUACCAACCCGAUGCAAACUGCGAAUACCGGAGAAUGUUAUCACGGGAGACACACGGCGGGUGCUAACGUCCGUCGUGAAGAGGGAAACAACCCAGACCGCCAGCUAAGGUCCCAAAGUCAUGGUUAAGUGGGAAACGAUGUGGGAAGGCCCAGACAGCCAGGAUGUUGGCUUAGAAGCAGCCAUCAUUUAAAGAAAGCGUAAUAGCUCACUGGUCGAGUCGGCCUGCGCGGAAGAUGUAACGGGGCUAAACCAUGCACCGAAGCUGCGGCAGCGACGCUUAUGCGUUGUUGGGUAGGGGAGCGUUCUGUAAGCCUGUGAAGGUGUGCUGUGAGGCAUGCUGGAGGUAUCAGAAGUGCGAAUGCUGACAUAAGUAACGAUAAAGCGGGUGAAAAGCCCGCUCGCCGGAAGACCAAGGGUUCCUGUCCAACGUUAAUCGGGGCAGGGUGAGUCGACCCCUAAGGCGAGGCCGAAAGGCGUAGUCGAUGGGAAACAGGUUAAUAUUCCUGUACUUGGUGUUACUGCGAAGGGGGGACGGAGAAGGCUAUGUUGGCCGGGCGACGGUUGUCCCGGUUUAAGCGUGUAGGCUGGUUUUCCAGGCAAAUCCGGAAAAUCAAGGCUGAGGCGUGAUGACGAGGCACUACGGUGCUGAAGCAACAAAUGCCCUGCUUCCAGGAAAAGCCUCUAAGCAUCAGGUAACAUCAAAUCGUACCCCAAACCGACACAGGUGGUCAGGUAGAGAAUACCAAGGCGCUUGAGAGAACUCGGGUGAAGGAACUAGGCAAAAUGGUGCCGUAACUUCGGGAGAAGGCACGCUGAUAUGUAGGUGAAGCGACUUGCUCGUGGAGCUGAAAUCAGUCGAAGAUACCAGCUGGCUGCAACUGUUUAUUAAAAACACAGCACUGUGCAAACACGAAAGUGGACGUAUACGGUGUGACGCCUGCCCGGUGCCGGAAGGUUAAUUGAUGGGGUCAGCGCAAGCGAAGCUCUUGAUCGAAGCCCCGGUAAACGGCGGCCGUAACUAUAACGGUCCUAAGGUAGCGAAAUUCCUUGUCGGGUAAGUUCCGACCUGCACGAAUGGCGUAAUGAUGGCCAGGCUGUCUCCACCCGAGACUCAGUGAAAUUGAACUCGCUGUGAAGAUGCAGUGUACCCGCGGCAAGACGGAAAGACCCCGUGAACCUUUACUAUAGCUUGACACUGAACAUUGAGCCUUGAUGUGUAGGAUAGGUGGGAGGCUUUGAAGUGUGGACGCCAGUCUGCAUGGAGCCGACCUUGAAAUACCACCCUUUAAUGUUUGAUGUUCUAACGUUGACCCGUAAUCCGGGUUGCGGACAGUGUCUGGUGGGUAGUUUGACUGGGGCGGUCUCCUCCUAAAGAGUAACGGAGGAGCACGAAGGUUGGCUAAUCCUGGUCGGACAUCAGGAGGUUAGUGCAAUGGCAUAAGCCAGCUUGACUGCGAGCGUGACGGCGCGAGCAGGUGCGAAAGCAGGUCAUAGUGAUCCGGUGGUUCUGAAUGGAAGGGCCAUCGCUCAACGGAUAAAAGGUACUCCGGGGAUAACAGGCUGAUACCGCCCAAGAGUUCAUAUCGACGGCGGUGUUUGGCACCUCGAUGUCGGCUCAUCACAUCCUGGGGCUGAAGUAGGUCCCAAGGGUAUGGCUGUUCGCCAUUUAAAGUGGUACGCGAGCUGGGUUUAGAACGUCGUGAGACAGUUCGGUCCCUAUCUGCCGUGGGCGCUGGAGAACUGAGGGGGGCUGCUCCUAGUACGAGAGGACCGGAGUGGACGCAUCACUGGUGUUCGGGUUGUCAUGCCAAUGGCACUGCCCGGUAGCUAAAUGCGGAAGAGAUAAGUGCUGAAAGCAUCUAAGCACGAAACUUGCCC